rnacentral:tRNA from 1 species
GGCAGUGUGGCUUAGUGGUUAAGGAGCAGGAAUUGUAACCAAAAGGUUGCUGGUUCAAUUCCACUGCUGCUG